rnacentral:rRNA from 1 species
GGAAAGAUGAAAAGAACUUUGAAAAGAGAGUUAAACAGUAUGUGAAAUUGUUAAAAGGGAACCGUUUGGAGCCAGACUGGCUUGUCUGUAAUCAAUCUAGGCUUCGGCCUGGAUGCACUUGCAGGCUAUGCCUGCCAACGACAAUUUGACUUGAGGGAAAAAACUAGGGGAAAUGUGGCCCACUUGUGGGUGUUAUAGUCCCUUAGAAAAUACCUUGGGUUGGAUUGAGGAACGCAGCGAAUGCUCAUUGGCGAGUUUUCCAGGAAGGUUUUCUGAGGUACUACGGUAUCAAGGUUGAUCUUUUUGGUUAUACUUCUAUUCGCUUAGGUUGCUGGCUUAAUGACUCUAAAUGACCCGUCUUGAAACACGGACCA